GAUGAACGCUGGCGGCGUGCCUAAUACAUGCAAGUCGAGCGAACAGAUGAGGAGCUUGCUCCUCUGACGUUAGCGGCGGACGGGUGAGUAACACGUGGAUAACCUACCUAUAAGACUGGGAUAACUUCGGGAAACCGGAGCUAAUACCGGAUAAUAUAUUGAACCGCAUGGUUCAAUAGUGAAAGACGGUUUUGCUGUCACUUAUAGAUGGAUCCGCGCCGCAUUAGCUAGUUGGUAAGGUAACGGCUUAUCAAGGCAACGAUGUGUAGACUACCUGAGAGGGUGAUCCGCCACACUGGAACUGAGACACGGUCCAGACUCCUACGGGAGGCAGCAGUAGGGGAUCUUCCGCAAUGGGAGAAAGCCUGACGGAGCAACGCCGCGUGAGUGAUGAAGGUCUUCGGAUCGUAAAACUCUGUUAUUAGGGAAGAACAAAUGUGUAAGUAACUAUGCACGUCUUGACGGUACCUAAUCAGAAAGCCACGGCUAACUACGUG
rnacentral:rRNA from 1 species